GAUGAACGCUGGCGGCGUGCCUAAUACAUGCAAGUCGAGCGAACAGACGAGGAGCUUGCUCCUCUGACGUUAGCGGCGGACGGGUGAGUAACACGUGGAUAACCUACCUAUAAGACUGGGAUAACUUCGGGAAACCGGAGCUAAUACCGGAUAAUAUAUUGAACCGCAUGGUUCAAUAGUGAAAGACGGUUUUGCUGUCACUUAUAGAUGGAUCCGCGCCGCAUUAGCUAGUUGGUAAGGUAACGGCUUACCAAGGCAACGAUGCGUAGCCGACCUGAGAGGGUGACCGGCCACACUGGAACUGAGACACGUUCCAGACUCCUACGGGAGGCAGCAGUAGGGAAUCUUCCGCAAAGGGCGAAAGCUUGACGGAGCAACGCCGCGUGAGUGAUGAAGGUCUUCGGAUCGUAAAACUCUGUUAUUAGGGAAGAACAAAUGUGUAAGUAACUAUGCACGUCUUGACGGUACCUAAUCAGAAAGCCACGGCUAACUACGUG
rnacentral:rRNA from 1 species